rnacentral:rRNA from 1 species
UCGGAGUCGGUGCUCGUGCGGGUGGUGACGCGACACGCGUAUCAGAAAGACUCUCGGCAACGGAUAUCUCGGCUCUUGCAUCGAUGAAGAACGUAGCGAAAUGCGAUACUUGGUGUGAAUUGCAGAAUCCCGUGAACCAUCGAGUCUUUGAACGCAAGUUGCGCCCGAAGCCAUUAGGCCGAGGGCUCGCCUGCCUGGGUGUCACCCAUCGUUGCCCCAGUGCCUUGGCCUCGUGUUAGGCACAGAGCUGGGCGAAUGUUGGCUUCCCGCGAGCAACGCCUCACGGUUGGUUGAAAAAUUGAGUCCGUGGUGGUGGGUGCCGUGACGGAUGGUGGUUGAG